GUCGAACGCUGGCGGCGUGCUUAACACAUGCAAGUCGAACGGAAAGGCCCUGCUUUUGUGGGGUGCUCGGGUGGCGAACGGGUGAGUAACACGUGAGUAACCUGCCCUUGACUUUGGGAUAACUUCAGGAAACUGGGGCUAAUACCGGAUAGGAGCUCCUGCUGCAUGGUGGGGGUUGGAAAGUUUCGGCGGUUGGGGAUGGACUCGCGGCUUAUCAGCUUGUUGGUGGGGUAGUGGCUUACCAAGGCUUUGACGGGUAGCCGGCCUGAGAGGGUGACCGGCCACAUUGGGACUGAGAUACGGCCCAGACUCCUACGGGAGGCAGCAGUGGGGAAUAUUGCACAAUGGGCGGAAGCCUGAUGCAGCAACGCCGCGUGCGGGAUGACGGCCUUCGGGUUGUAAACCGCUUUCGCCUGUGACGAAGCGUGAGUGACGGUAAUGGGUAAAGAAGCACCGGCUAACUACGUG
rnacentral:rRNA from 1 species